CCCCAACUUAAUGGCUAUUCGAAAUGGCCAGACAUGGAGCAAAAAGUGAAGAAGAAGCCAUCAACAGAUAUGAAUAGAUCUGAAAAUGGAAUACAGCUAAAAUAUGUCAAUCCUAUCAAUUUACACCGUCGUAGGUGCGUAGCUUUUCCACUAUUAUAAUAUCAUGUAAAUUAUCGCUGGUUGUUUGUUGCUACACUUUGUUUGUUUGUUCGCUUGUUGCUACACUUUUUUUUUAUUUGUUUGUUGCUACUUCUGCCCGCCGGCGGACAUGGGAGCACCGUUACCAGAACGAGGCCCAGCCAGGCGGGAAAUUCAUAGGUUGCCGACUUGUAACCGCUGCGGUUCGUUCUUUGCUCGCCAGCGGAAGAGAUGACGUAGCAAAAAAAAAAAAAA